rnacentral:rRNA from 1 species
GACGAACGCUGGCGGCGUGCUUAACACAUGCAAGUCGAACGGAAAGGCCCUGCUUUUGUGGGGUGCUCGAGUGGCGAACGGGUGAGUAACACGUGAGUAACCUGCCCUUGACUUUGGGAUAACUUCAGGAAACUGGGGCUAAUACCGGAUAGGAGCUCCUGCUGCAUGGUGGGGGUUGGAAAGUUUCGGCGGUUGGGGAUGGACUCGCGGCUUAUCAGCUUGUUGGUGGGGUAGUGGCUUACCAAGGCUUUGACGGGUAGCCGGCCUGAGAGGGUGACCGGCCACAUUGGGACUGAGAUACGGCCCAGUCUCCUACGGGAGGCAGCAGUGGGGAAUAUUGCACAAUGGGCGGAAGCCUGAUGCAGCAACGCCGCGUGCGGGAUGACGACCUUCGGGUUGUAAACCGCUUUCGCCUGUGACGAAGCGUGAGUGACGGUAAUGGGUAAAGAAGCACCGGCUAACUACGUG